rnacentral:tRNA from 5 species
GCGAGGGUUGCCCAGCCAGGUCAAAGGCGAUGGGUUUAGGACCCAUUUUCGUAGGAAUUCGUGCGUUCGAAUCGCACCCCUCGCA